rnacentral:sRNA from 1 species
GGAUCAAGAUGUGCAAUACAAGAGUGUAGGGAAUAGGAGGGUCAAAAUGUGCAAUACAAGAGUGUAGAAGGGAGGAGGGUCAAGAUGUGCAAUACAAGAGUGUAGGAUGGAGGAGGGUCAAUAUGUGCAAAACAAGUGUGUAGGGGGGAGGAGGGUCAAGAUGUGCAAUACAAGAGUGUGGCAAGUAGGAGGGUCAAGAUGUGCAUUACAAGAGUGUAGGGAGUAGGAGGGUCAAGAUGUGCAAUACAAGAGUGUAGGAAGUAGGAGGGUCAAGAUGUGCAAUACAAGAGUGUAGGAAAUAGGAGGGUCAAAAUGUGCAAUACAAGAGUGUAGGGAGGAGGAGGGUCAAGAUGUGCAAUACAAGAGUGUAGGGGGGAGGAGGGUCAAGAUGUGCAAUACAAGUGUGUAGGGGGGAGGAGGGUCAAGAUGUGCAAUACAAGAGUGUAGGAAGUAGGAGGGUCAAGAUGUGCAAUACAAGAGUGUAGGGGGGAGGAGGGUCAAGAUGUGCAAUACAAGUGUGUAGGGGGGAGGAGGGUCAAGAUGUGCAAUACAAGAGUGUAGGGGGGAGGAGGGUCAAGAUGUGCAAUACAAGAGUGUAGGAAGUAGGAGGGUCAAGAUGUGCAAUACAAGAGUGUAGGAAGUAGGAGGGUCAAGAUGUGCAAUACAAGAGUGUAGGAAGUAGGAGGGUCAAGAUGUGCAAUACUAGUGUGUAGUGAUUGAGAGGGUCAAGAUGAGCAAUACAAGAGUGUAGGGGGGAGGAGGGUCAAGAUGUGCAAUACAAGAGUGUAGGAGGGAGGAAGGUCAAGAUGUGCAAUACAAGUGUGUAGGGGGAGGAGGGUCAAGAUGUGCAAUACAAGUGUGUAGGAAGUAGGAGGGUCAAGAUGUGCAAUACAAGAGUGUAGGAAGUAGGAGGGUCAAGAUGUGCAAUACAAGAGUGUAGGAAGUAGGAGGGUCAAGAAGUGUAAUACAAGAGUGUAGGAAGUAGGAGGGUCAAGAAGUGUAAUACAAGUAUGUAGGAAGUAGGAGGGUUAAGAAGUGUAAUACAAGAGUGUAGGAAGUAGGAGGUGUGACAGGUGGGGAAAUGUGAGGUGUGUUUUGCGCGUUUUAUGUCUAGGGGAUG